CGUCUUCAGAUCAUCAAUUGUGAGCUCUGAGGGGAUUCACAAUAAAUUAUAAUGCGUGGUCUACAGUUUGGUAGGCCUAUAGCCUAUAGUAUAGGGGUUGGUGCUCGAGAUAUUUAACCUAUUUACAAGCUUAAGUACGUUAAGCUAUUCUUUUAUGCUCAAGUUAACAGCCUAUUAAUCGCCUACAGGAAAUUAAUAUCACACAUUUUUCCUCCAAAGCAUGCACUACAUAGACCCCAUGUACGUCAUAUCAAACUAUAAAUAAUGGCCACAUAACUCUAACCAUAGAUAAAAGAGACAAAUGAUAGGAAACACUUAGCGCCUCGAAAGUUUCCCCCGGGAUUCAUUCGAGGCCGCCUACUGUACAUGGAAAAAAUGGCCAAAAACACAAAAAAGAGACAAAUGAUUGUCUUACUGUCAGUGUGAGAACCCUGCUGCUAAACUUUUACUUCUGUUUAAUACUUGAGGCUAUAUGACACACAGUACACUAAUUAUAUAGGUUGUUCUAGCUGUAUUAUUGGUACAAGAAACAUCCUAAGUAGUGAAAGCAAUGUUUCUGUACCUCUAGCUACUUAGCAAUCCCAAAAAAGUUUCUGUUAUAUCCAAAUGAUACCUAGUAUAAAGGGACAUUAAAUUGAAGUGGUAGGGAGACUUGGAAAAGUCUGAAUUUUUCAAAACAGCCAUAGAGCGGUUGCAUCGCGCGUCAUCCACCCACGCACAAAAGUUUUUGGAGGACAACCUCCAAAAACACAGGUGUAAACAAUGUAAAAGUACACGAAGAACUCGACACCAUUUGGCACAGUAGAACUAUGAUCCAGGAUAGAGAGUGCUCUAGUAUUGUAACUGUAAGUCUACCUUAGCUUACAGAGAAGGCUGAGUGUACUAGCUGAACAAGCUGAGCUCUGUGUGAAGAUGGUUACCAUAAUUAUGUUCAAGUCAAGAGGAUGUAGGAGUGCCCGAUCAUGCCAGGCAUCGAUCAUUGCUGGCUGGGAGGAUUGUGUGGGACACAAUCACCACAAUAUUAAAUUAAUAGAAUGAUGGAGACAAGAGUCAAGAUAAAAUUGACAUUGAUGUCAUGUGUCAGUACAUGUAUUAGUUAUGUGCUCAGUGUACAUACCUUUACCGACAUCGUCUCUGGUCUCUGAAACAUUAAAUUAUGGGUUGAGCAAUUAAUGAAUGUUGGUUGACUCAAGAUUGACAAAAAAAAGAGUAAAUAACAACAAAAAAACACUGCAUCUCUUAUUAAUUAUUGAGCUUAGAAGAUGACAGAAGCAAGCAUCCAAAUCUUUGUA